UAGGAUAAGCUCAGUUGGUAGAGCACGAGACUCUUAAUCUCAGGGUUGUGGGUUCGAAACCCAUGUUGGGGGAAAAG